UGUGGUAGUCCUGACCCCUAAGACAAUUGGGUUUAAUUAUCAGGUUACAUGUUAAGCUGCAUGUCAAGUCAUACUUCACUCUUCCAGCUUAGUCUUUCGUAUCCAAUUGUAGCUUUGGCAUUUUUUAUUUUUAAGCACAGAAGCCUUGGUGUCCAUUAAACCACCAUGGAUACUAAGUGCUGUCUAAGCUAAUCCAGUUAUGCCAUCAGGUGACCAUUUGAGUAAUUCUGGGCUUUUCUUUGUUCUGUGGUAUGUGCUCUGAUUUUGAAAGUCAGAAACAGAAUUAUCCCCCAAUGGGGGUGGGGUGGGGGGGGAAUAAAAGCUCCAAGCUAGUACUAAUUAUUCUUAAUGUGCGACUCUUAAUGCUGACUCUGCUCUUUAACACCUCCCGACAUACAAGAGGGGAGCAAAUGUGACAGUGGGUAUCUCUGUCUCCUGCAGGACACAUCCUGAGGGUCCCAGGGUCAAGACCCGAGGCUCACAGAAAAUGAGCACUCUAGUGAUUGUGCGAGUGUUCUGGACUCAGUAGUAAGAUGUAUGAGCACCAGGCUCCUUUCUACAGACCCAGCUCGGACUGAGCGCUCCUCUCAACGAUGCUGGAUGUGCCUGCCUUUCCAAACUCUCAAUUUCAAUUCAUAUCCUCGUUGAGUUUAAAGUUGUUUUAAAAUAUAUACAACAGUAUCCACAGCAUUUAGUUCAUUUUAUUUUUAUUAUAAAGCAAUCUACUAAAAAAAAAAUACAAUUGUAUUUGAACCUUCCGAUCUCUGUGAGCUAUGAUGAUCAGAAGUCAGAGUCCUUUUGUGUUUAAACAACCAUAUGCUUAUUCUUUAACAUAACUCCUGCUUAUAUAUGGGCAGUGAUUCUCCACUGUCAUCCACCUGCAUCUUUUGCCCCGGCGGCGAUGUGGUUUAGACCUCAGGUCUGUAAUUGCAAUACUUUUGAUGAAAGAUGUUGCACAAGUGCUGUUUGUUAGUUAUGAAAUCAGGUUUUCUGCUUGUUCUUAAUGCCAUGGUCAAAUCAUAGCACAAAAUCAUUAAAAAUAAUCAGUGAUAAAU
rnacentral:lncRNA from 1 species